CCCUAUCAACUAGUUGGUGAGAUAUUGGCUCACCAAGGUGGUAACGGGUAACGGGGGAUCAGGGUUCGAUUCCGGAGAGGGAGCCUGAGAAACGGCUACCACAUCUAAGGAAGGCAGCAGGCGCGCAAAUUACCCAAUCCAGACUUUGGGAGGUAGUGACGAGAAAUACCGGAGUAGACCAUUAAUGGUUCACUAUCGGAAUGAAUGCAAUCUAUAACUUUCAAUGAGUAGCUACUGGAGGGCAAGUCUGGUGCCAGCAGCCGCGGUAAUUCCAGCUCCAGUAGUGUAUAUCAAAAUUGUUGCGGUUAAAGCGCUCGUAGUUGGAUUACAAAAGCUCUUUGAUAACUGAAUGAUAAUGUAUUUAGUUGUUGAGGGGUUUUUUUCUCGCGAGAUCCAUAUGUGAGAUUGAAUUCUUGUAUAUGGUCACUUGCGAAAUGUGCCUUGAAUAAAGCACAGUGCUCAAAGCAGGCGUAUGCUUGAAUGUAAUAGCAUGGAACGAUUAUGUUGACCAAAUCAACUGUUGGUUGUUGAGUAAACCAAUAUGGUCUAGAUUAAAAGGAACAUUUGAGGGCGUUAGUACUUGAUGGCGAGGGGUGAAAUUCUUAGACCCAUCAAAGACUAACUAAUGCGAAAGCAUUCGCCAAGAGUGUUUUCAUUAAUCAAGAACGAAAGUUAGAGGUUCGAAGACGAUCAGAUACCGUCCUAGUUCUAUACAGUAAACGAUGCCAACAUGGGAUUAGUCCGGAAUUAUCCAGGUUGGGCCCUCAGAGAAAUCCAGUGUUUUGGUCGUGGGGAGAGUGCGCGCGCAAGCGUAAAAUUUGAACGAAAUUGACGGAAUGGCACCACCAGGAGUGGAGCCUGCGGCUUAAUUUGACUCAACACGGGGAAACUCACCAGGUCCAGACAUUGACAGGAUUGACAGACUGAGAGAUCUUUCAUGAUACAAUGAUUGGUGGUGCAUGGCCGUUCUUAGUUGGUGGAGUGAUCUGUCAGGUUAAUUCCGGUAACGAGCGAGACCACGAUCUUUAAUUGAUUACGGGCAUUAUAUGGUCAUGUUCAAUCUUAAAGAGACAACCGGAAUUAAGCCGGGGGAAGCGUGGCAAUAACAGGUCUGUGUUGCCCUUCGAUGUUCUGGGCUGCACGUGCGCUACAAUGGCAGUGACAACAAGUGCCUGCUCUGAGAUGGGUGGGGAAUCUUGAAAAUCACUGUCGUACUUUGGAUUGAGCCUUGUAAUAAUUGCUCAUGAAAGAGGAAUUCCUCGUAAGCGCGAGUCAU
rnacentral:rRNA from 1 species